GGUGAGGUGGCAGAGUCUGGCCUAUUGCGCCGGCCUUGAAAGCCGGUGGGGUGUCACAGCCCCCAGGGGUUCAAAUCCUCUCCUCACCG
rnacentral:tRNA from 1 species